ACCUGCCUCAAGGCUGGGGAUAACAUUUGGAAACAGAUGCUAAUACCGAAUAAAACUUAGUAUCGCAUGAUAUCAAGUUAAAAGGCGCUACGGCGUCACCUAGAGAUGGAUCCGCGGUGCAUUAGUUAGUUGGUGGGGUAAAGGCUUACCAAGACGAUGAUGCAUAGCCGAGUUGAGAGACUGAUCGGCCACAUUGGGACUGAGACACGGCCCAAACUCCUACGGGAGGCUGCAGUAGGGAAUCUUCCACAAUGGGCGCAAGCCUGAUGGAGCAACGCCGCGUGUGUGAUGAAGGCUUUCGGGUCGUAAAGCACUGUUGUAUGGGAAGAAAUGCUAAAAUAGGGAAUGAUUUUAGUUUGACGGUACCAUACCAGAAAGGGACGGCUAAAUACGUGCCAGCAGCCGCGGUAAUACGUAUGUCCCGAGCGUUAUCCGGAUUUAUUGGGCGUAAAGCGAGCGCAGACGGUUGAUUAAGUCUGAUGUGAAAGCCCGGAGCUCAACUCCGGAAUGGCAUUGGAAACUGGUUAACUUGAGUGUUGUAGAGGUAAGUGGAACUCCAUGUGUAGCGGUGGAAUGCGUAGAUAUAUGGAAGAACACCAGUGGCGAAGGCGGCUUACUGGACAACAACUGACGUUGAGGCUCGAAAGUGUGGGUAGCAAACAGGAUUAGAUACCCUGGUAGUCCACACCGUAAACGAUGAAUACUAGGUGUUAGGAGGUUUCCGCCUCUUAGUGCCGAAGCUAACGCAUUAAGUAUUCCGCCUGGGGAGUACGACCGCAAGGUUGAAACUCAAAGGAAUUGACGGGGACCCGCACAAGCGGUGGAGCAUGUGGUUUAAUUCGAAGCAACGCGAAGAACCUUACCAGGUCUUGACAUCCUUUGAAGCUUUUAGAGAUAGAAGUGUUCUCUUCGGAGACAAAGUGACAGGUGGUGCAUGGUCGUCGUCAGCUCGUGUCGUGAGAUGUUGGGUUAAGUCCCGCAACGAGCGCAACCCUUAUUGUUAGUUGCCAGCAUUCAGUUGGGCACUCUAGCGAGACUGCCGGUGACAAACCGGAGGAAGGCGGGGACGACGUCAGAUCAUCAUGCCCCUUAUGACCUGGGCUACACACGUGCUACAAUGGCGUAUACAACGAGUUGCCAACCUGCGAAGGUGAGCUAAUCUCUUAAAGUACGUCUCAGUUCGGACUGCAGUCUGCAACUCGACUGCACGAAGUCGGAAUCGCUAGUAAUCGCGGAUCAGCACGCCGCGGUGAAUACGUUCCCGGGUCUUGUACACACCGCCCGUCACACCAUGGGAGUUUGUAAUGCCCAAA
rnacentral:rRNA from 1 species